GUGGGGAAUAUUGGGCAAUGGGGGAAACCCUGACCCAGCGACGCCGCGUGAGGGAAGAAGGCCUUAGGGUCGUAAACCUCUGUUGUGUGGGAAGAAGAGCGUGACGGUACCACACGAGGAAGUCCCGGCUAACUACGUGCCAGCAGCCGCGGUAAUACGUAGGGGACGAGCGUUGUCCGGAUUUACUGGGCGUAAAGGGCGCGUAGGCGGUCAUUUAAGUCAGCUGUGAAAUGGUUUGGCUUAACCGGAUCAUGCGAUUGAAACUGGAUGACUGGAGUGCUGGAGAGGCAAGUGGAAUUCCCAGUGUAGCGGUGAAAUGCGUAGAUAUUGGGAAGAACACCGGUGGCGAAGGCGACUUACUGGCCAGUAACUGACGCUGAGGCGCGAAAGCCAGGGGAGCAAACGGGAUUAGAAACCCUAGUAGUC
rnacentral:rRNA from 1 species